rnacentral:misc_RNA from 1 species
UCCAGCUUGUCGCUGGCAGUUUCCUUAUAGUUCCCGGCUUAACCCGCUGGCAAAUAAGGAUAGGGGUUGCGCUCGUUGCAGGACUUAACCUAACAUCUCACAACACGAGCUGACGACGGCCAUGCAACACCUGUGUGUGGUCCAGCCGAACUGAAGAAGUACAUUUCUGCACCUCGCGACCACCAUGUCAAGAGUUGGUAAGGUUUUUCGCGUGACAUCGAAUUAAACCGCAUGUUCCACCACUUGUGCAGGUCCCCGUCAAUUCCUUUGAGUUUUAAUCUUGCGAUCUUACUUCCCAGGCGGAGUGUUUAAUGCGUUAGCUGCGGCACUGAAAUCUUACGACCCCAACACCUAACACUCAUCGUUUACAGCGUGGACUAC